CCUGAAAUUAUUUGAUGUGCGUCCCUCUUCCGAAAGCAUUUAACAUUUAUUAAGUUUGGUUUUUAGUUGCAUAAAACAUGAGAAUCACACUACAAAUCCAAUAUCAAGCUUACCAAUCGCCGAUUGUUCCACUCCACAUUCCACAAUCCACAAUCCACAUUCCACAAGUCUGCGGCUGGCAGUCGGCAGUCGUUGGAUAUCUUUAUGAAAAUCUACAAAAAUACAGGUAAGCAAACCGAGGUUGUUUUCAGCACAUAAUUGUUACAAAUUAUAAUUGUAAUCAACAAAUAAUAUUAUUGCAUUCUAUUUUAGCUCACUGCUCUCCCAAAAUGUUAGUUUUGCAGCAAGUCUGACGGCCACACAGCUCUACUUUUUCCCAUGGAGGCACGAACAACUUCCAUUGAUCAACCAAAGUUCUCGAUUGGAUUGGAAUUAUUUCUACGCUGUUGCAGGACUGUUAUUCGAAUUGAUCAUUAAAUAAAUCAGACACACAUACACACACACACACACACACACAAACACACACAAAC
rnacentral:lncRNA from 1 species